rnacentral:rRNA from 1 species
AGUCAUAUGCUUGUCUCAAAGAUUAAGCCAUGCAUGUCUCAGUACAAGCCAAAUUAAGGUGAAACCGCGAAAGGCUCAUUAAAUCAGUUAUGGUUCCUUAGAUCGUACCCACACUUACUUGGAUAACUGUGGUAAUUCUAGAGCUAAUACAUGCAAAUAGAGCUCCGACCGGAGACGGAAGGAGCGCUUUUAUUAGAUCAAAACCAAUCGGUGACGGCUCGCCGUCACCGUACUCCUUGGUGACUCUGAAUAACUUGUUGCUGAUCGCACGGUCUCGAACCGGCGACGCAUCUUUCAAAUGUCUGCCUUAUCAACUGUCGAUGGUAGGUUCUGCGCCUACCAUGGUUGUAACGGGUAACGGGGAAUCAGGGUUCGAUUCCGGAGAGGGAGCCUGAGAAACGGCUACCACAUCCAAGGAAGGCAGCAGGCGCGCAAAUUACCCACUCCCGGCACGGGGAGGUAGUGACGAAAAAUAACGAUACGGGACUCAUCCGAGGCCCCGUAAUCGGAAUGAGUACACUCUAAACCCUUUAACGAGGAUCAAUUGGAGGGCCAGUCUGGUGCCAGCAGCCGCGGUAAUUCCAGCUCCAAUAGCGUAU